rnacentral:rRNA from 1 species
UACGUAGGUGGCGAGCGUUAUCCGGAAUUACUGGGUGUAAAGGGUGUGUAGGCGGGGAGACAAGUCAGACGUGAAAGGCAGGGGCUUAACCUCUGCACUGCGUUUGAAACUGUUUUUCUUGAGUGUCGGAGAGGUAAAUGGAAUUCCCAGUGUAGCGGUGAAAUGCGUAGAUAUUGGGAGGAACACCAGUGGCGAAGGCGGUUUACUGGACGACAACUGACGCUGAGACACGAAAGCGUGGGGAGCAA